rnacentral:lncRNA from 1 species
AUGGGAGACAGGGCAACAGGACACUGCCCGUUGUUGUUCAUGAUGUCAUCCAGGUCUUCAUCGUCCAAGUCCACUGAGGAGGAAAGGGUGAACGGAAUUAUUUGCACACUUCGUCGUGUACGGAGCAAACACUGCAUAUCGGCUGCUGCCAUCAUGUCCUGGAUCAUCGGUGUGACCCUCCUGCUCAUCAUUUUGGCCGACAGCACAGCUUUCUCUGAUGGAUCUUGUGUGACCAAAGAGCACAUCGGCAAGUGCAGAGUUUUUCCCAAUGGUGUGAUGAAGUGUCGCUCCCCGCUCUUGCCCAGAAACCGUGGAGAGAAAAUGGAUCUGAUCAAAUGCCUCUGCAGCAAAGCAAACCAGCGCAAGUUUCCAGAGUUUGAGGCCAUCUGCACAUCGUGGCAUCCUGGUCUUCCAAUAACCCCCGUGUAAAUGAGCGCAAGGACCCACAAUACAACGGCGCAGCAUAUCGCGCAAGAUCACGUCACCGUAUUCCCACAUCGUCGCAUGAUAUCAACCAUCGCACGAGAAGCAGCACAUCAAAUCACAUGGUCGCCUGGGAGACUCAAAAGGCUGCAUGGCACUGCAUCAUGUUUACACAUCACGUCGUCCUUGUAAUAUGCUAUAGAUGAAAGUAAAGACAUGUUUUCUGCAACAGUUUGUCUCAACUCCUUUUUUGGGUCUAGCCAAAGGUAAAACAAUCCAACCUCAAAGGUGAACUCUUGUUUGUUCAAUCACACAAAAGGGUUGGGGCGGGGGGGGGUGGGAAGCUGUUUCCCCGCCACCGGUCGCGAAGCCAAGUGAAGCUAACCGGCUGCUAGCUCCGGGUUCAUGUGCGUUGUUUCAAUCUGCCAAGUCCCUUCGAGCGACAACAAAAAAAGAAAAGUUAUUAUCUGCCAAAAUGUGCGACUGUUGCCUUACGUUUGCCCUCUGGGACCUAAGGUCUUUGUGAAAUAGUCAUCAACGUUGCAGGUCUUUGUUGUCAAGAAACCAAGUAAAGUGAAAGUUGUCUCUUUUGAGUCCUUUAGAAAUGCUCAUUGUUGUGACGGAGAAAAUAUGGGCCUGGGUUUUGUUGUUGUUGUUGUUGUUAAUUGUUUUACUUUUUUGAGUAUAGAAGAAACCUCUCUAUCUUCUACCUAGAAAGAAUGUCACUUCUUAUCCCUAUGUGUCAGCAGCCCCUAUGGAACAGGCUUUGCCUGAUAGAGGUAUUUGUUUUGUCCCCACCUAUCAGGACAAGGAGAAACCAGAUGCCACAGAAGAUAUAUUUUCUCUUAUGUUGUCAGUGAGAAUAAAUAAUAGUAUUCUACCUAUUUGGGGUUUUUACAAGAUGCAGAAAUGCAGUGCUGAUGUGAAGAAGAAGAAAAAAAAAGGCUUCUGUGAUGACAUUUUGUGAUUUCUUACUCAACUGUUACAGAUUAGGAGCUGCCAGUGGUGUAACUCUCAAACCAUAAUAUUUCCUACAGAGGUGCGCGAGAACUGACCUUGCCUCUGAAGGUCCGCAGACUUUUUAGACAUCAGCUAAUCUCUCACUUUGAGGACUCAAAAUAUUGUACGUCAGCAGUCAGGGCACCUUGUUUUGCCCUCAUGUCUGACGGCUUCAUAUUUACACCAAAACACUGCAGUCAAGCAAAGAGCUCGGGCGCGCGCACACACACACACACACACACACACACACACACACGACAGUCAAAGACCGAAAGAGAGGAAAAAGUCAAUCACAGUAGAUAACAAAACCGUCCAGCUACUUGCUCUUCCUUGGAUUUUGAGAACUCGACUCUUAACCAGGG